rnacentral:lncRNA from 1 species
CUAGCUUCUCCUACAACAAUUAAUAUUAAAGGCUAAAAAUACUUUAUGUAUCUAAGAUCUAAUAUAGUAAUACCUUGCAUCAUUGAAGAAAACUAAGAAAGGAAAUUUCCACUUCUUGUUGAGUUCAUUAGCAUUGCCAUUCUCAUUCUCAUUCAUUGUACUUGAUACCUCCCAAAGUAAAUCCACAAAGGAAAAGUGCUUCAAAUUAAGAGUUUAUGCAAUCAAAUGUAGAGAGAAUAACACAAGAGGGAAUAUAUUAAGGCCAAUCCUCAUCAACAAAUUUGUCAAGUGUUAUUUUUUGGUGAGUUUUGAUUUGAAAACAAAAUCAAGGUAUUGCUAAUGUGUUAUCUUUUGGUGAUGAAAGGUCA